CAGCGCUGAGGACUGUUGGUAUCCUAAUAAAAGAACAAAAUAGCUGUCAUAGAUGUUCUGUCCAGGGGUUGUCCCUGAAGAAACUUCGUAAACUACAUUGCUGCUUCUUCCUGGCCCCGCUGUCUAUAAUGAGAAAUGAUUGGCACUAAGCAAGAGUGUGAAAUCGACGCCCUGGAAUCCAAGGAAAAGACCCGGCAGGCUUGCUGAAGCUGGCCACCCCAGCAACUGGAGAUGGAGACAG